rnacentral:rRNA from 1 species
CAGUAGCCGCGGUAAUACGUAGGGGGCGAGCGUUGUCCGAAGUUACUGGGCGUAAAGAGCGCGUAGGCUGGUCUUUAAGUGAGUGGUGAAAGGUUUGGGCUCAACCCGGACACUGCCUUUCAUACUGGGGACCUUGAGUGUGGGAGAGGCGAGUGGAAUGGUCGGUGUAGCGGUGAAAUGCGUAGAUAUCGAUCGGAACACCCAUGGCGAAGGCAGCUCGCUGGCCUAACACUGACGCUGAGGCGCGAAAGCGUGGGGAGCAAACAGGAUUAGAUACCCCGGUAGUCCCUGUCUCUUAUAA